rnacentral:ncRNA from 2 species
CUCUUAUUCAGAAUGGUGGAGUCAUAAGGGACUGUGAAGCCAUGGCAACCCCGAUGUAAGAUAUCGGAAGGUGCCGACCUGAGCGACGCGGACGCCGGCAAAGCAUAUUUA